CCUACGGGCGGCAGCAGUGGGGGAUAUUGCACAAUGGGGGGAACCCUGAUGCAGCGACGCCGCGUGGGUGAAGGAGGGUUUCGGCGCGUAAAGCCCUAUCGGCAGGGAAGAAGAUGACGGUACCUGACCAAGAAGCCCCGGCUAACUACGUGCCAGCAGCCGCGGGAAUACGUAGGGGGCAAGCGUUAUCCGGAUUUACUGGGUGUAAAGGGGGCGCAGACGGCACUGCAAGCCAGGAGUGAAAGCCCGGGGCCCAACCCCGGGACUGCUCUUGGAACUGCAUGGCUGGAGUACAGGAGGGGCAGGCGGCAUUCCUAGUGUAGCGGUGACAUGCGUAGAUAUUAGGCGGAACACCGGUGGCGAAGGCGGCCUGCUGGACUGUGACUGACGUUGAGGCCCGAAUGCGUGGGGAGCAAACAGGAUUAGAUACCCCUGUAGUC
rnacentral:rRNA from 1 species